AACGAACGCUGGCGGCAUGCCUAACACAUGCAAGUCGAACGAGACCUUCGGGUCUAGUGGCGCACGGGUGCGUAACGCGUGGGAACCUGCCCUUAGGUUCGGAAUAACUCCCCGAAAGGGGUGCUAAUACCGGAUAAUGUCUUCGGACCAAAGAUUUAUCGCCUUUGGAUGGGCCCGCGUUGGAUUAGCUAGUUGGUAGGGUAAAAGCCUACCAAGGCGACGAUCCAUAGCUGGUCUGAGAGGAUGAUCAGCCACACUGGGACUGAGACACGGCCCAGGCUCAUACGGGAGGCCGCAGUGGGGGAUAUUGGACAUUGGGCGAAAGCCUGAUCCAGCAAUGCCGCGUGAGUGAUGAAGGCCUUGGGGUUGUAAAGCUCUUUUACCCGGGAUGAUAAUGACAGUACCGGGAGAAUAAGCUCCGGCUAACUCCGUGC
rnacentral:rRNA from 1 species